GAUGAAGAACGUAGCGAAAUGCGAUAAGUAAUGUGAAUUGCAGAAUUCAGUGAAUCAUCGAAUCUUUGAACGCACCUUGCGCCCUUUGGCUAUUCCGAAGGGCUUGCCUGUUUGAGUAUCAUGAACACCUCAACUCUCAUGGUUUGCCAUGAUGAGCUUGGACUUUGGGGGUCUUGCCGGCCUAUGGGUCGGCUCCUCUCAAAUUAAUCAGCUUGCCAGUGUUUGGUGGCAUCACAGGUGUGAUAACUAUCUACGCUUGUGGUUUUCCAUCAGGUAACCUUCAGUGAUGGAGGUUCGCUGGGGCUCAUAAAUGUCUCUCCUCAGUGAGGACAGCUUUUUUGAACGUUUGAUCUCAAAUCAGGUAGGACUACCCGCUGAACUUAAGCAUAUCAAUAAGCGGAGGA
rnacentral:misc_RNA from 1 species